AAAAACAUGUCUUUUUGAUUAUAAUUUAAAGUCUAGCCUGCCCAAUGAGGAAUUAAAUGGCCGCGGUAAUUUGACCGUGCAAAGGUAGCAUAAUCAUUAGUUUUUUAAUUGAAAGCUGGUAUGAAAGGCUGGACGAGAGAAUAACUGUCUCAAGUUAAUUUAAUUAGAAUUUUAUUUAUAAGUUAAAAAGCUUAUAUAAAUUUAAAAGACGAGAAGACCCUAUAGAAUUUUAUAUUUAAAUUACUAAUUUUGUUUAAGUAUGUUUAUAGAGUUAGUAGUUUAAGUAUUUUGUUGGGGUGAUAGAAAAAUUUAAGGAACUUUUUUUAAUUUAAAGAUCAUUGAUUUAUGAUUAAUUGAUCCGWUUGUUACGAUUACAAGAUUAAAUUMCCUUAGGGAUAACAGCGUAAUUUUUUUUUAGAGUUCUUAUCGAAAAAAGAGUUUGCGCCCUCGAUGUUGGAUUAAAAUUAACUUUUGGUGUAGGGGCUAAAAG
rnacentral:rRNA from 1 species